rnacentral:rRNA from 1 species
UACGUAGGGCGCGAGCGUUAUCCGGAAUUAUUGGGCGUAAAGAGCUCGUAGGCGGUUUGUCACGUCUGCUGUGAAAAACUGGAGGCUCAACCUCCAGCCUGCAGUGGGUACGGGCAGACUAGAGUGCGGUAGGGGAGAUUGGAAUUCCUGGUGUAGCGGUGGAAUGCGCAGAUAUCAGGAGGAACACCGAUGGCGAAGGCAGCUCGCUGGGACGGUACUGACGCUGAGGCGCGAAAGCGUGGGGAGCGAACAGG